rnacentral:rRNA from 1 species
AUUGAACGCUAACGGCGUGCUUAACACAUGCUAGUCGAGCGGCAGCACAGUAGUAGCAAUACUAUGGGUGGCGAGCGGCGGACGGGUGAGUAAUGCAUAGGAAUCUGCCUUGUAGUGGGGGAUAACCCGGGGAAACUCGGGCUAAUACCGCAUAAUCUCUACGGAGCAAAGUGGGGGACCGUAAGGCCUCACGCUAAAAGAUGAGCCUAUGUUGGAUUAGCUAGUUGGUAGGGUAAAGGCCUACCAAGGCAACGAUCCAUAGCUGGUCUGAGAGGAUGAUCAGCCACACUGGGACUGAGACACGGCCCAGACUCCUACGGGAGGCAGCAGUGGGGAAUAUUGGACAAUGGGCGAAAGCCUGAUCCAGCAACGCCGUGUGUGUGAAGAAGGCCUUCGGGUUGUAAAGCACUUUUAGUUGGGAAGAAAAGCUCAAGACUAAUACCCUUGAGUGAUGACGUUACCAACAGAAAAAGCACUGGCUAACUCUGUGCCAGCCGCCGCCGUAA